rnacentral:rRNA from 1 species
GAUGAACGCUGGCGGCGUGCUUAACACAUGCAAGUCGAACGGUGAAGCAGAGCUUGCUCUGUGGAUCAGUGGCGAACGGGUGAGUAACACGUGAGCAACCUGCCCCUGACUCUGGGAUAAGCGCUGGAAACGGCGUCUAAUACUGGAUAUGAGCUGCGACCGCAUGGUCAGCAGUUGGAAAGAUUUUUCGGUCUGGGAUGGGCUCACGGCCUAUCAGCUUGUUGGUGAGGUAAUGGCUCACCAAGGCGUCGACGGGUAGCCGGCCUGAGAGGGUGACCGGCCACACUGGGACUGAGACACGGCCCAGACUCCUACGGGAGGCAACAGUGGGGAAUAUUGCACAAUGGGCGAAAGCCUGAUGCAGCAACGCCGCGUGAGGGAUGACGGCCUUCGGGUUGUAAACCUCUUUUAGCAGGGAAGAAGCGAAAGUGACGGUACCUGCAGAAAAAGCGCCGGCUAACUACGU